rnacentral:rRNA from 1 species
UACGUAGGGGGCAAGCGUUGUCCGGAUUUAUUGGGCGUAAAGAGCGUGUAGGCGGUUCGGUAGGUCCGUUGUGAAAACUCGAGCUCAACCUCGAGACGCCGAUGGAAACCCCCGAACUAGAGUCCGGAAGAGGAGAGUGGAAUUCCUGGUGUAGCGGUGAAAUGCGCAGAUAUCAGGAAGAACACCCGUGGCUAAGGCGGCUCUCUAGUACGGUACUGACGCUGAGACGCGAAAGCGUGGGAGCGAACAGG